rnacentral:rRNA from 1 species
AACGAACGCUGGCGGCAGGCCUAACACAUGCAAGUCGAACGCCGUAGCAAUACGGAGUGGCAGACGGGUGAGUAACACGUGGGAACGUACCUUUCGGUUCGGAAUAACUCAGGGAAACUUGAGCUAAUACCGGAUACGUGCGAGAGCAGAAAGAUUUAUCGCCGAAAGAUCGGCCCGCGUCCGAUUAGCUUGUUGGUGAGGUAAUGGCUCACCAAGGCGACGAUCGGUAGCUGGUCUGAGAGGAUGAUCAGCCACACUGGGACUGAGACACGGCCCAGACUCCUACGGGAGGCAGCAGUGGGGAAUAUUGGACAAUGGGCGCAAGCCUGAUCCAGCCAUGCCGCGUGAGUGAUGAAGGCCCUAGGGUUGUAAAGCUCUUUCGCCAGGGACGAUAAUGACGGUACCUGGAUAAGAAGCCCGGCUAACUUCGUG